rnacentral:rRNA from 1 species
UACGGAGGGUGCGAGCGGUACCCGGAUUUACUGGGCGUAAAGGGCGGGUAGGCGGUCUGGGGCGUCCCAUGUGAAAGGCCACGGCUCAACCGUGGAGGAGCGUGGGAUACGCUCAGGCUAGACGGUGGGAGAGGGUGGUGGAAUUCCCGGAGUAGCGGUGAAAUGCGCAGAUACCGGGAGGAACGCCGAUGGCGAAGGCAGCCACCUGGCUCACUGGUCACGCUGAGGCGCGAACGCGUGGGGAGCAAACCGG